rnacentral:rRNA from 1 species
AGGGAAUCUUCCACAAUGGACGAAAGUCUGAUGGAGCAACGCCGCGUGAGUGAUGAAGGUUUUCGGAUCGUAAAACUCUGUUGUAAGGGAAUAAAGUGAGGCACGUGUGCCUUAUUGUAUGUACCUUAGGAAUAAGCAUCGGCUAACUCCGUGCCAGCAGCCGCGGUAAUACGUAGGUGGCAAGCGUUGUCCGGAAUUAUUGGGCGUAAAGCGCGCGCAGGUGGUUUCUUAAGUCUGAUGUGAAAGCCCACGGCUUAACCGUGGAGGGUCAUUGGAAACUGGGAGACUUGAGUGCAGAAGAGGAAAGUGGAAUUCCAAGUGUAGCGGUGAAAUGCGUAGAGAUUUGGAGGAACACCAGUGGCGAAGGCGACUUUCUGGUCUGCAACUGACGCUGAGGCGCGAAAGCAUGGGGAGCAAACA